AAAAAUGGCGGCCGGGAAGAAGGAGGAGUAAUGGUGGACAAGCAGAGGGUUCCACGCACUCCAAAAAGGCCUAACACGGCUGCGAUUUCUCUGCAGCCAUUGUAUCAUGCAAGUCAAUUCUAUCAUGCAUCGUAUCAUGCAAGUCAAUCCUAGAGGGAGCCCCAGCUGACGAAGCGUCAAGGCUCCAGCUGACAAAGCGUCAAGGCGAGUUAAGCAGCAGAGUGAAAAGAGGGAUGUAUAAAACAGAGCUAUUCUUAAGUGACCCCGUCUAGGAUGCACACCUUAAUAUGGUGAGGAGGUAAUGCCAUCAGGUGUCUAGACUCAUAGCAGGGGCACCCAAGGCGGAAUGGUCAAAGCUGAGACACCAGACUAAGAUGCAUCCAGAGUCAGAGGAAGGCAAUGGUAAGCCACCUCUGAAUACCUCUUUCCAUGAAAAUCCUAUGAGUAAACUAUCCAAAAUGCAACACGAGAUAGUGCUGGAAGAUGAGACCCCCCAGGUCAGAAGGCACUCACGAGCUACUGGGGAAGAACAAAGGACAAGUACAAGUAGCGCUGUGACUAAUGAUGCAGCUGGGUCAAAGCCGAAAGGAAGCCCAGAGGCUGAUGUGCACAGAUGCGAAAGUAGAGUCCAGAGCUGUAUGACGUACAAAAUAGGAACAUGGAAUGUGAGAAGCAUGAAGCAGGGAAAGUUAGAAAUUGUCAAGCAAGAAAUGGAAUGUAUCAACAUUAUAAUACAUGGAAUGAAUGAAUUAAAACAGAGAGGAAUGGGACAUUUCCAAUCAGGCAACUACAAAAUAUUUUUAUGCAGGAAAUGAGAAAUUAAGAAGAAAAGGGGUUGCUUUAAUAGUGAGAAGUGAUGUAGCAACAGCAAUUAGGAGCUAUAACUCAAAGUCUGAGUGAGUUAUAUCAAUGAGAUUUAACGGGAAACCUACGAACAUAACCAUCAUCCAAAUCUAUGCUCCAACCGCAAAUGCAGAACAAGAGGAAAUGGAGAUAUUUUAUGCAGAAGUAUAGGAAGAAAUUGAUCACACACCAAAACAAGAUGUGAUGAUAACCAUGGGGGACUGAAAUGCAAAAGCAGGGAACAGAGAAGAACUAGAAAUUGUGGGAAAAUGGGGCUUAGGAGAUAGAAAUGAAGCCGGAGAAAGACAUUGAAUUCUGUGAAGCCAAUAAUUUGUUUCUUGCAAACACAUUUUUUGAGCAAAUGAAAAGAUGACUGUACAUGUGGACAUCACCAAAUGGUCAAUGUAGGCAUCAAAUUGAUUAUCUAAUUGGUAGCAGAAGUUGGAAAAGUUCCAUACUUUCUGCAAAAACCAGUCCAGGAGCAGACUGUGGUACAGAUCAUGAACUGGUUGUAUCGAAAAUCAGAGUAAAGCUAAAGAAGAAGAACAAAGCAAUCAUAAUGCCAAAAUACAAUUCAAAUAACAUCCCAGAAGAAUAUAAAGAUCUAAUGAGGAACAGAUUUGAGGCUUUAAACUUAGUUGACAAAAAAACAGAAGAACUAUGGAUUGAAGUCAGACACAUUGUCAGGGAAGAAUGCAAAAAGACAAUAUCUCUAGUUAAAAAAGAGAAAGAACUCAAUGGAUGACUGAAGAAACUCUUAAAAUGGUUAAAGAGAGAAGGCAAGCAAAAGCAAAAGGAGAAAGAAACAUGGUUAGAACCCUAAAUGCGACUAGUACGUAGGGACAAACAGAACUAUUACAAUAGUUAUUGUAUAGAAAUAGAAGAGGACAAUAAAAAGGGUAGAACAAGAGCCCUAUUCCAAAAGAUUAAAGAAAUGAAAGGGAAAUUUAAACCAAGAGUAGGGAUGUUGAAUAAUCAACAGGGGAACACACUGACUGACCAAGAUAAAAUAAAAGGAAGAUAGAAGCAAUACACUGAAGAACUCUAUAAUGAUGCCAGGAUGACAGAUUCAUUCAUGGAGGACCCAUAUGAUGAAGAACCAGAAAUUUUAGAAUGUGAGGUGAAAGCUGCUCUUAAAAUACUUGGAAGAAACAAAUCACCAGGAAUAGAUGACAUACCAAUAGAGUUGCUACAAGUUUCUGAGACUGUCCAAAUUUUGACAAAAAAUUGUCAACAAAUAUGGAAAAGAAAACAAUGGCCCACAGACUGAAAGCGUUCAAUAUACAUCCCAAUUCCAAAGAAAGGAGAUCCCAGGGAAUGCAGUAAUUAUUGAACUAUUGCCUUAAUAUCCCAUGCAAGUAAAGUAAUGCUCAAGAUUGUACAACAAGGUCUCUUACCAUAUAUGGAACGAGAAGUGCCAGAUGUCCAAGCUGGAUUUAGAAAGAGAAGCGGUACCAGAGAUCAUAUCACAAACAUACGUUGGAUAAUGGAAUGGACCAAAGAAUUUCAGAAGGAAAUCACCUUGUACUUUAUAGAUUACAGCAAAGCCUUUGACUGUGUAGAUCAUGAAAAACUAUGGAAUGCUUUAAAAGAAAUGGGGGUGCCUCAGCAUCUGAUUGUCCUGAUGCACCACCUAUACUCUGGAGAAGAGGCUACUGUAAGGACAGAAUAUGGAGGAAACGAUUGGUUCCUAAUCAAGAAGGGUGUUAGGCAGGGGUGUAUUUUAUCACCCUAUUUGUUUAAUCUAUAUGCAGAACAUAUCGUACAGAAAGCAGGAUUGGACCAAGAUGAAGGAGGUGUUAAAAUUGGAGGGAGAAAUAUCAAUAAUUUAAGAUAUGCAGACGAUACCAUACUACUAGCAGAAACCAGUAGUGAUUUGAAACGAAUGCUGCUGAAAGUUGACGCGGAAAGCACAAAAGCAGGACUACAGCUGAAUGUCAAGAAGAUGAAAGUAAUGACAAAAGAAAAUUUCUGUAACUUUAAAGUUGACAACGAGGACAUUGAACUUGUUAAGGAUUAUCAAUACCUUGGCACAGUCAUUAAUCAAAAUGGAGACAAUAGUCAAGAAAUCAGAAGAAGGCUAGGACUG